CAUUACUGUAGAGAACUCAUAAUACGAAGUGGCUAUAAAAGCAUUCCCGCUCCUUUCGAAUUCCCUCCCUCCGCUAGCUUCAUUCUCACUGCCAAUCUCAGGUUCUCGAACUCUCCUUCUAUCUAUUAUUCUUGAUUUAGGAAAGAAUCUUGACGUCCUUUUGCUGCGCUCUUGCAUUUCCUUCCUUUCAUUUCUUUCGUUGUUCUUGAUUUUAUUGCUCGUUUUGCUGUUUGGCUUUAAUUCCCUAGGGAAGUCGUUUUUACUGUUUCCAGUCGCAUUAUCAGUGCUGCGCUUGGAUCCUCAGUGAUCUCGAUGACAAUAGUUCGAGGUUUUAUUAUUGAAGAUUGAGUGUGAAAAUCGGCUCUGAUCUCUGUGUAUCUUUCUUUUGCGUCUUCAUUUCUACGUAGUUUCAAAUUCUUUUUGCUUGAUCUUAUGUGUUUCUUAAUCAGGAAGUCCAAUUUGAUUUUAUUUCAAAUUUGACUUAUCUGUAAUUGGAAUUACUUCUGCGUUCGGUUUCUGAAUUUAAUUAGUAUACAAAUUUCUUGAAAGGAAUCGACGACGAUAGUUCGAGGUUUUAUUCUUGAAGAUUGAUUGUGAAGCGUCACAGAAUCGGAUCUCUCUGAAUCGACGACGAUAGUUCAAGGAUAUAUUCUUGAAGAUUGAUUGUGAAGUGUCACAGAAUCGACCUCUCGAGUUGGAUUGCAUGAUUGUCAACUCUCCAGCAAGGUAAGUUCCCUAGACUAAUACUGCCAAGUCUAACAAAUUAUAUAGAUUUUAAAAAAAUCAUAAUGAAGGUUAUAAAAAAAAAGUUUCAACGAGACCACGUGGUUAUACUUUAAAUUUGAGUUUUCUGGUUUUCCUUUCAAUUUGUAAAAGAAAAUUCGAAAACGUUUUUUUAUUUAUGUAAGCUGAGGAUAGCCGCAGCCCUAGCUUUUAUUACAUAGUUUAAGCUAAAUAAACGUUUUAGUUGCAGAACUAGUUAGGAGUUUCUUUAACUUAAUCCUAUUGUCUAGAAAGUUUAAUGUAGUUCCUUGUUUGUCUUAAUGUUUUGUUUUCUAAAAUUAGUUCUAUUGGUUAAGACAUUUAUACGAGCAUAAAACUUGUGAAUUGGACCAAAUUUUGAAGAUAAAAAUAGAGGGAUUUCAAGAUUUUGUUCUCUAAACAACAUUUUCAGUCACUCGACUUGUGGUCAAAAGGGCGAGACCUGACCAAACUGAACUCUUUUUUCUCUUUUCAUAGUUAUAUAAUUUAUUAUUUUUUUUGGGUGAAAUAAAUCUACGAACCAAAAUUCAAUUUGGUUUGUCAUUGCUAACAACGGUCAGUCAACAAUUUCCAUACUGACUUUUGGUCCGUCGAAGUAAGUUUGGCAAAAAAAAAACCGACUCCGAUUCCAACCAACCAAAAUUCAAUGACUCCGACUCCAACCAACCAAAAUUCAAUUUGGUUUGUCGUUACAAAGUUACAACAGAAAUUUUGUAAUAAAUUUGCCAUGUAAAUUACAAUUUACAAACUGCUCAUGGAAACUUCAAUAAUUGGAAGCACUAAAUUUCAGGUCAAGUUAGGAAGAAGAGAAAUGAAGGAAAUUUUAGAUAUGGAGCUGAAUUUACAUUCUAUUAACAACCAAACGAAUAGUCGGAAAAGGUCAAAAGUUCACUUACCCACGUGUUCAACUAAAAACAGUAAAGAAAAUAUAACAAUGAUAAUUAAUGAAUUAAUUAUCUGAUACGGAAGCUGACAAACAGUGGGAUAUAGAUGAACGUAGGGCUACUGGAAAAGUCUCUUCCGCCUAACCUCGAAUAAAAACUCCGUCAAAUGUACAGGUGACCAUUCCAUGAUGAUGGUAAGGUUUAUUGCACUACUUCCAUUAUUUGCUACUCUGAAAAA